rnacentral:lncRNA from 1 species
CAAGACGCCUGAUCAUCAGGAAAUAAAACGCAAGUAAACAAAUGGGAAACGUGUUCCGUCUCAGGGCUAACAUCUUUGUUGUCACAGAGCUGCAGAGUUCUCAACUUCAUUGUCAGAGGCGGUGCUGAAGAGUGCCGGAGAGCGUAGGAGGGCCGAGAGGUGGGUCUUGGCCCCUUGGCGUGGCCCCCUAGACCAAGGCUGCUACGGAUGCCAUCAAAGUCUGGACUGGCAGGGACCCACUGCCUCAGCCCAAACUUUAGGCAUCAAAUGAGAAGAGCCCCUUUCCUUGCUGCUGGUCUUUGACUUCUGCCUUCAGGACAUUUUUCUGGUAUUGUCUGCAGAUCGUUCAUAGAGCCUAUAAGACAUAAAGUCCCAGUGUGGGAUUUAUGAGCUGAGUCUAACUCUCAAAAUUUGAUCUGCCUCUUUACUCC